CCUACGGGCGGCUGCAGUGGGGAAUCUUGCGCAAUGGUCUAACGACUGACGCAGCGACGCCGCGUGUGGGAGGACGCCUUUCGGGGUGUAAACCGCUGUUGCCCGGGACGAACACCUCUUUUCGAAGAGGCUGACGGUACCGGGUGAGGAAGCACCGGCUAACUCCGUGCCAGCAGCCGCGGUAAUACGGAGGGUGCGAGCGUUGUCCGGAAUCAUUGGGCGUAAAGGGCGCGUAGGUGGCCCGGUCAGUCUUUGGUGAAAGCGCGGGGCUCAACCCUGCGUCGGCCAGGGAUACUGCCGCGGCUCGAGCACUGUAGAGGCAGGCGGAAUUCCGGGUGUAGCGGUGGAAUGCGUAGAGAUCCGGAAGAACACCGGUGGCGAAGGCGGCUUGCUGGGCAGUUUAGCUGACACUGAGGCGCGACAGCGUGGGGGAGCAAACA
rnacentral:rRNA from 1 species